UACGUAGGCAGCAAGCGUUGUUCGGAAUUACUGGGCGUAAAGAGUGUGUAGGCGGUGCUCCAAGUCUGGUGUGAAAUCCCUCGGCUCAACCGAGGAAGUGCAUUCGAAACUUCCGGACUUGAAUAUGGAAGAGGGUCGCGGAAUUCCCGGUGUAGAGGUGAAAUUCGUAGAUAUCGGGAGGAACACCAGUGGCGAAGGCGGCGACCUGGGCCAAUAUUGACGCUGAGGUGCGAAAGCGUGGGGAGCAAACAGG
rnacentral:rRNA from 1 species